GUACGGAUCACAAGGGUUUAUUGUACCCUGCAUUUCUGCAAAAGUUUAUUUUCACGGCUCGAAUCCGUAAUCUCUUGCCAUGUAAUUUUACCAGGUACGCCAAGGCUCCGCAAUUAUGAAUACACGAUAUAUCUUAAUUUCUAUAUGCAGCGCCGCGAGACUUGAAGCUUUUGGAUGGCAUGAUUUCUGUAGGUACAGAAAAGAGUUCGACUGGAAUUCGCCUUUGAGGAUUUCGUAACGACGCAUAUUAAGCACUCCAUAUUUUAGUCAUCUUUUGCAUCCAAUUUAAAAAAAGGAUGGUUGAGCAGAAAUAAUGGAGUACCCUUUUUGCCAUUCCUCUUUCUGUUUUGCUGUUAACUAAACGCUUCUACACCCCUGAGAUUCAUACAUGAUCAGCCACAUUUGACGAUGAUUUUGACACAUGAAUUUAACUUAAUUGCUGGUAGGAAUUAUGUAUCCUUUGCCUACCACAUUCCUUUGAAUAUAUAUGUUGUUAAAGAAUAUAUGUAUAUUCCUUACUCUAGCGCCAUCUGCUAUCUCGUUAGGGUUAAUAUAUGAAUACAUAUACACAUGCGGUUAGUACUAUACAGUAUAAAAGAUUUGAAACACCAAAAGUGAACAACAAAAUACUAUAGCCUAAUUUUUCGUUCAGACAAAUACUAGAAAAAAUAGACAACUGUAAUUAUCAAAUGAGAGGUUCACCAGCUUGAUCAUCAACCAUGCAAAAUCAUUACCAACGAUUUCACUUUCACAUAUAUAAGCAAGCCAAAAACUAAAAGCAAAAAAAUAUAAGGAAGCUGAAGCCUUCCCUAGUUUCAACAACUGCAUCCACUCAUGCUCAAACACAAAUUGCAUAACUAUAUAAUAACUAAUCGCAAUCUCAAAUAAGUUUAGGUUCAAUACACUGACAGUGUAAAAGAAUUUUUACACUAUCCGUUAAUUAUUGGUAGAGGAAGAAGAAGAGGAAGAAUCAGAUGCAACUUCAGUUUCCACUACUUGUCUUCUAUGAAAGUUGCGG
rnacentral:lncRNA from 1 species